AUUGAACGCUGGCGGAAUGCUUUACACAUGCAAGUCGAACGGCAGCACGGACUUCGGUCUGGUGGCGAGUGGCGAACGGGUGAGUAAUGUAUCGGAACGUGCCCAGUCGUGGGGGAUAACGUAGUGAAAAUUACGCUAAUACCGCAUACGAUCUAUGGAUGAAAGCGGGGGAUCGCAAGACCUCGCGCGAUUGGAGCGGCCGAUAUCAGAUUAGGUAGUUGGUGGGGUAAAGGCCCACCAAGCCAACGAUCUGUAGCUGGUCUGAGGACGACCAGCCACACUGGAACUGAGACACGGUCCAGACCCCUACGGGAGGCAGCAGUGGGGAAUUUUGGACAAUGGGCGAAAGCCUGAUCCAGCCAUUCCGCGUGCAGGAUGAAGGCCCUCGGGUUGUAAACUGCUUUUGUACAGAACGAAAAGGUUUCUACUAAUACUAGGAGCUCAUGACGGUACUGUAAGAAUAAGCACCGGCUAACUACGUGCCAGCAGCCGCCGUAA
rnacentral:rRNA from 1 species